CCAUUGUAUACUUCUAAACCCUCCAUACUCAGACAGAACCCUUCUCUCUGUCCAAAUGAAGAAGUUCUCAACCCUAAGAAUCCUUCACCAUCGUCAUUCUCUUCUCAAUCUCAAUCUCAAUCUCAAUCCACCAUUCUCCGUCUGCUUCAAUUUCAAUUUCGCCACCGUUCCCCACUCUCACUCCUUCGUUGUCUCCUACCUCGUCUCCACCUGCGGCUUCUCCCCGGAAUCCGCCCUCUCCGCCUCCCGCUACCUCCGUUUCGAGAGUUCUCAGAAGCCCGACUCCGUCCUAGCGUUCCUCUCCACGCAUGGCUUCUCCGUCUCUCAAAUCCACACCAUCGUCAAACGGGAAUGUCGCAUCCUCCGCUGCGACCCCGACAAGGUCCUCCUCCCCAAAUUCCUCUUCCUCCGCUCCAAAGGCGCCUCCUCUGCCGACAUAACCCACAUGAUCACCACCGGACCCCGAUUCCUCUUAUCCAGCCUCGACAACCACAUUGUCCCCGCCUAUCUCUUGAUCAAAAGUUUCGUCGACUCCGACAAGCAAGUCAUCACCUGUCUCAGGCGAAACCUCUCCUUCAUUGCCGACAAUCGCGUAUCUUCCAACGUCCAACUUCUCCUCGAUAAUGGCGUCAAACGCUCCAGCAUCGCUAUGAUGUUCUCCAUGUGGCCCUCUAUCCUCUGCUCCUGUAACCUGUCCCACACUAUUUCUGAAUUGAAACAAAUGGGGUUUGAUACUUCCAAAACCUCCUUCGCCGUCGCCAUGUUGGCCAAAAAGACUGUGAAUAAAGCCAAGUGGGGCGACAAGGUUGAGGUUUUUAAGAAGUGGGGGUGGUCGGAGGAGCAUGUGCUUGUGGCGUUUAAGAAGCAACCUUAUUGCAUGUUGACCUCCUGUGAGAAGAUUGAUGCCAUGUUCAGCUUCUGGGUUGAGGUGUUAGGGUAUAGCUCUUUGGAGCUUAUCAAGUAUCCUGUUAUUUUUCAGAUGAGUCUCCCUAAGAGGAUUGUUCCCAGGUCUUUGGUUCUGAGGUUUCUUGACAAGGAAGGAUUGAGGAAAAAGGGUGCAAGCAAUGGCACGCCUCUACUCACGACGGAGAAUGUGUUUCUGAAGAAGUUUGUGUAUUGUUUUGAGAAACAUUCUUCUCAGUUGUUGAAGAUAUAUGAGAAAAGUUUGAAUGAAGGGAAUCCUGGUGAGGAGGAGAAGAAUGUUUGCUUGUAGCAUUGACUUACUAUUCACUCACUCAUAUCUACUGAGAAUCUGACUGGCAAUUAAGUAAAAAACGAGCCUUUUGAUGAAAUGAGAGAAUUUGUCAUAUUUGUGGGGUGAAAUGAGCUGACUCGUAGAGGUAUUUUCUGCGUAAACCGAGGUAAAACACCAACUCUUCAAGAAACAUAUAUGAUGUUUUCUGCCUAGCCGUUUUUAUUUGUUAUAGGUGACUGUUCUGUGUGGAUUGACUAAAGACAAACUACAAGAGUAUUUAUAUUCUUUGGUGAGAUGAAGUGGUUCAAGUUUUUUUUACUCUUGCAAGUCUGUUUCAAAAUCAAUUGGAAAGAGAUGUACAUAAACGUAAAGUGCGGAAAGAAGAAAUUUAGGAAAUGAUGAACUCCAAAGGAAGUAGGUGCUAACACCAAAAUAUCAAACUGUUUGCCAUUGAGUGCACUCCAGAUGAAGGAUUCAAGAGUCCAUUGAAGGUGCCUUAAAAAGUUAUAUAAUAGAUAUAGUAUUUUAAGUUUGUUUCACAAAAUUUGUUUAUAAGGAUGAGAGUAAAUGAUAAACUAGUUUAUAAUUGAGGUCAUUUAUAUUGUAUGGAUGAUAAUAUGAUCUUAUAAGUUCCUCAAUUCGAAUGUGCAUGACAAUAAACUUAAGACCCUGAGUUAAAAGAA